rnacentral:lncRNA from 1 species
UCCCUGUUCUUAUCUCAACCCUUGAGCCCUUUUUCAUUGUAUUUUCUCCCCCUUCCCCCUUGAGGAGGAGCGAGAGAAGGGUUGUGAUGGCCUUUGGCUGCCUGUUGGUGUGAAACCACAGCAGAAGGUGCAGAAGACCUGUUCCCUCGACCUUACAGUUCUUGCUUAUGUCCCAGAGGUCUGACCUCAGUUCGAGGACUGUGAGUGUUAGUCACAAGUAGCUCUGUCUUUGAGGAACUGGAAUUAACCUAUCUGGUUUCAAGCUUUAAAUGCAGAUUAAAAAAAAAAAAAAAAAAAUAAAAAAAAUAAAUUGUGCAAGAGCUUGUUGUGCAGCUAGGGGCUGGCACAGGAUGGAGUUGUGGGACUUUUGUGGGACUUAGAGCUGAUUUCUUAUCUCUCGUCCACCCUGAGAAAAAACAGAAGUCGCAGUGCAAGAAAACUUCUGGUUUUCAUUACUGUUCUUCUUCUGUGUUGUUUUUGUUUUUUUUUUUUAAAGUGUCAGAGGGCUGGAGUUUGUGCUGAUGCAAGCAACACAACAGCCUGUUCUCUGCCAGCAAAUUAAUGAGUCAUACAGGGAGAGAGCUCUGUAUCAAGGCAGCUCCUGCAAGCUGAGUUUACCCAUCCCUCAAAUGUCUGAUCCAGUAUGCGUGCACCAAGUGGUCCCAAGGACAGGGAUUUCUGCUCUGAUCCCUGGUGAACAAGGCUAUCUUCCUAUAAAUUGGGAACAGAAAUGUGGACAUUUGGACCUGUACCUGCAGCUUCAGCAUCACAGAGCCAAAGGGUGGUGGACCACACACGUGCACCAACACCAUAAUCAGUGGGUUCAGAGCAGUCUGGUCUGUGAAGAGCAAAGCCAUCAGGAUUACAGGGAAGAUCCUGAGACCACCAUCGCUCAGCACUAAUGACCCAGCACUGUAGGAAAAUGGCAUGGGGACCUGUACCUGUGGCUAUAGAGGAGAUAAGUGGAGGUGCAGUGGAUUUGGUCCUUCCUCAGCAGUGUUGUGAAGGGUAACUUCCAGCUUUUCCCCUCGAGGGCCUCCUUUUGCUUUCCUGGGAGUGGAUAC